rnacentral:misc_RNA from 1 species
GAUCUCUCAAAGGAUUGGUUAAUCUGUCCUUUGGAUUUUGGGUCUUGCUGUGAAUUGCUUCUCAGCUUACCUUGAAAAUAUUAGCAAGCUUUGUUUGGGUCAUUUCUAAUGAGGCGUUUUAAUUUAUUCCAAUUGACGACUCUCUUGAUCCCCAAUCGAUUAAAAGACUUGCUUCCAAUCAUCCCAUUGAAGGGAUAUAUUUUUGGCUAGUUCCAAAAAAUUAUU